UACGUAGGGUGCGAGCGUUGUCCGGAAUUAUUGGGCGUAAAGAGCUUGUAGGCGGUUUGUCGCGUCUGCUGUGAAAAUCCGGGGCUCAACCCCGGACUUGCAGUGGGUACGGGCAGACUAGAGUGUGGUAGGGGAGACUGGAAUUCCUGGUGUAGCGGUGAAAUGCGCAGAUAUCAGGAGGAACACCGAUGGCGAAGGCAGGUCUCUGGGCCACUACUGACGCUGAGGCGCGAAAGCGUGGGGAGCAAACAGGAUUAGAUACCCCGGUAGU
rnacentral:rRNA from 1 species